rnacentral:tRNA from 1 species
GGAGUUGUGGCUCAGCGGUAGAGUGCCCGCCUCGAACGUGAGAGAUCCUGGGUUUGAUCCUCAGCACCA